CAAAGAUCAAGAAGUGUUUUCUAUGCAAUAAUUUCACCUGGCAUCUUCACUUGAGCUCAUGAGAUAUGCAAAAAGAUGGCACGAUUGAUAUAAGGGCUACUUUGGGUACUUUGUUUGUUUCCCUUUCUCGUUGUAACCCCUCUUUUCUGCCUCCAGAUUCAAUGGUUUUAUGUUUUUUUUUUUGCAGUACACUCUUUGACCUCUGGCCGAUUCAAUAUAGUUGGAAUAUUAAGGCUUGUUUUUGUUGUGCACUCUUUGAUGCAUAGUUAAGUGUUUGACAUAAAGUACAUGCUCUGUUUUCCAAAAAUGUUAUUUAUGAAUGACUUAGAACCAUGUUAUUUUCUCAACUCUUAAGACAUGCUACUGAUUUAUAUGCAAAUGCCAAACUUUACAAAUGGAUCUUAGUUCUUCCUUGCCAUUCUUAUUUGCAUGCAAUGAUUAUUACACAUAGCUGACACUCAUUUCUGUCCUUUAUCACAGAAACAGAACUCAUUAUGUUAUUCCUGGUUGAUGAUUAAUUAUGGUUAUAGAUUAAAGUGAGCUUUUUGAAUGAGCAGUCCUUUAUAUUGUAAUUUGUAAGUGGCUUUAGACUAAAUUUUAGUUUAUCUCUUUCUUUUAUAUGUGAAUGAUGAAUGCAUAUAAGGAAACAUGCAUAGUUAUUAAAAUGUCAAUCUAAGUGAUGAGCUAAACAUAAAAGGGUCUGAGAAUAAAUCAUCAACGUUUGACCUUUUAUAAAAAUGCACAAAUACACUGAGAUUUGGUUAUUGGUAGGUGGGUUAGCUGAUUGAAGGUCUUGAUUUUGUUUGAACAAUUACAUUUUGUUGUAUACUAAAUAUUAUAUAAUAAGUUAAUUACAUCCAUGAGAAAUCCAAUGAAAAUAAUGCAAGAUGUUGCAAAGGUUUUACAAAAUUCUAAGAUGAUAUCAGACAUCCUGAUUAAAAAACUAUAAAAUUAAAAGUAACUUGCUAACAGUAGCAUAUUUACCUAUGUUUUUCCAUCUUUUUAACAUAGUUAGAUGAAAAAGAGGAUGUGUGAGCAUAAUGUUCUGCGAUAUUUUAUUCGUUGUGGUUUAUGUGCUUUUCUCUCUCUCUCUCUCUCUCUUUUUUUUUCCUUGUAGUUAGUGCUUGUCUUGUAUGGCUGAAUAUCUCAUGUCAUAUUCGUCUUGUUUAUUUUGAUCAUGACAUCACAAGUAAGAGGAUAUAGACAUGUGAGCUGAUUUUGUUGUUGCAUGCAUAUUGUUAGUUGUUAUUGAAAUGACAUCUGUUACUUUGGAAGAUUUGAGAGCCCACUGCUCAUCUGCAAAGGAAUUAGGCAGGAGAAGGUUGGGUUCAUUGGUGAGAUAGUCCUGAGAUAGUAGUAGCUUGCAAUAAAUAAAGCAUCUGUGUGCUCUGCUGAUGCAAAAUAGUUGGAGUUUUUCAUUGGAUGACUAGUUUAUCCUCUACCGAGUGUGACAUCACCUAUCUGGCAAUAUCCUUUGUAAAUAGAAUCAGCAUAUGGCUUGAGCACCAAUGUGGAAUAUCUAGUCAUCGUCUGUGAAAGGAGUUGGUUCUGACUCUGAAUCCCCCUAAGAUGCAACACUUGUUUGGUACACAUGCUGCUUUUAGUUGAACUUGUUAUUUUUACUGUGGUUAGGUGCUGAUGUGACAGCCUUCAAGUAUCUCGGUUGACUGUAGAAGGGUGUAAUUCUGUCACCAGAUCCUGUAGCAUACGGUUUGGUGAUUGUAGUUGUUUUCAGUGGCUGCGUGUUGUAUGGUUGUGAAUGCCAUAAUACCAUCUGAUGUUGGGAGGUCAAACGAAAGAGUAUUCAGGAAGACAAUGCAUGUAGGAAUCAGCAACUCUGAGCAACCAAAACGUGCAAUGGUGGCUGUUGGACAACCUGUUGGCAACUUGUUUAUCAGCUAGGUAUUCUGGUAAUAUAUUGGCAUCCGAUCUCUUGAGAUGGCCCAGGCUAUACCACCAAGAAAGCCAGACUUGGAUUAACGUCCAUGGCAUGGACGAUGCGGCGGCUUUCUUCCUCGGGAGUCCUUACGAUGUUGCUUUACACGGUGGAGCUUCGUGCUGCUCCUGAUGAUGCAUUGCAUCAUCCUUGGUCGGAUUUGCCGGGCUUUUACAGGUAUAUCUUUCUUCUUGUCCUGCACGCUUUCUGUGGUUGGCAUCUGAGCUUGGGUCUCGGUUCAUUGAAUCCCUAACUUUUUUUAUUUUUAUCUCCACCACCACAGAUUGUCGUGUUUAGUUCCGCCAGAUGUAUUGAUUUAGAAUGGGACGCUUGUCGCUCCAGUCUCUCUCGAGACGGGCUCAUGCGUGGGCCCACGAGCACUACAAAUGAUAACAAUCUACUUGAAAUUUAACUUUUUUUUCC